rnacentral:rRNA from 1 species
UACGAAGGGGGCUAGCGUUGCUCGGAAUGACUGGGCGUAAAGGGCGCGUAGGCGGACUCUUAAGUCGGUGGUGAAAUCCUGGAGCUCAACUCCAGAACUGCCUUCGAUACUGAGAGUCUUGAGUCCGGGAGAGGUGAGUGGAACUGCGAGUGUAGAGGUGAAAUUCGUAGAUAUUCGCAAGAACACCAGUGGCGAAGGCGGCUCACUGGCCCGGUACUGACGCUGAGGUGCGAAAGCGUGGGGAGCAAACAGG